UCAUGAUUUACAUUUGAGUGAGUGGCGAACUGGUGAGUAACACGCUGGGAAACCUGCCCAGAAGCGGGGGAUAACACCUGGAAACAGAUGCUAAUACCGCAUAACAGCUUGGACCGCAUGGUCCGAGCUUGAAAGAUGGCUUCGGCUAUCACUUUUGGAUGGUCCCGCGGCGUAUUAGCUAGAUGGUGGGGUAACGGCUCACCAUGGCAAUGAUACGUAGCCGACCUGAGAGGGUAAUCGGCCACAUUGGGACUGAGACACGGCCCAAACUCCUACGGGAGGCAGCAGUAGGGAAUCUUCCACAAUGGACGAAAGUCUGAUGGAGCAACGCCGCGUGAGUGAAGAAGGGUUUCGGCUUGUAAAACUCUGUUGUUAAAGAAGAACAUAUCUGAGAGUAACUGUUCAGGUAUUGACGGUAUUUAACCAGAAAGCCACGGCUAACUACGUGCCAGCAGCCGCGGUAAUACGUAGGUGGCAAGCGUUGUCCGGAUUUAUUGGGCGUAAAGCGAGCGCAGGCGGUUUUUUAAGUCUGAUGUGAAAGCCUUCGGCUCAACCGAAGAAGUGCAUCGGAAACUGGGAAACUUGAGUGCAGAAGAGGACAGUGGAACUCCAUGUGUAGCGGUGAAAUGCGUAGAUAUAUGGAAGAACACCAGUGGCGAAGGCGGCUGUCUGGUCUGUAACUGACGCUGAGGCUCGAAAGUAUGGGUAGCAAACAGGAUUAGAUACCCUGGUAGUCCAUACCGUAAACGAUGAAUGCUAAGUGUUGGAGGGUUUCCGCCCUUCAGUGCUGCAGCUAACGCAUUAAGCAUUCCGCCUGGGGAGUACGGCCGCAAGGCUGAAACUCAAAGGAAUUGACGGGGGCCCGCACAAGCGGUGGAAGCAUGUGGUUUAAUUCGAAGC
rnacentral:rRNA from 1 species